UACGUAGGGUGCGAGCGUUGUCCGGAAUUAUUGGGCGUAAAGAGCUCGUAGGCGGUCUGUCGCGUCGGUCGUGAAAACUUGGGGCUUAACCCUGAGCUUGCGGUCGAUACGGGCAUGACUGGAGUUCGGUAGGGGAGACUGGAAUUCCUGGUGUAGCGGUGAAAUGCGUAGAUAUCUGGAGGAAUACCGGUGGCGAAGGCGGCAUCCUGGACCGAAACUGACGCUUAAGCGCGAAAGCUAGGGGAGCAAACGGG
rnacentral:rRNA from 1 species